AAAGUAGAAAUUACUUCCACAUUCGCGCUCAGGUGGGAAAUAAGGCCCAGGGUAUGCCUACAACUAAUUAGACCUUCUAACAAGUUUCGCCAAGUUCCACCUCAAAGAUGUAUUCAUCUAAUGCAAGAGUCAGACAACUCCUCAAGCAGCCGACAAACAAAAGUACCUCUGUGUGACUUGUUCACAACAUGGUGUGAUUAAGGAGCACAAAAGGGAGACAGAAUCACCGCAAAAAAAGAGAAUGAGGAGGAUGAAAUGGUCUGGAAAUUGCCACCCCUACCCCAACACCCCACCACCUUUACCCACCGGCCUCUAAUGCCAUCUGUACUGCCAACGGGGAGACAAGAGAGGGGACAAAGACCCCGCCGGAUCCCCAGAGAAUGGGUGCUGAAAGAGGAGAGACAGGAGCCAUCUUGGGAGAUGUUGCCGCGGUACCUAAGAUGGCUGGGCUGGCACACGAGGUCUGGAUGUAGAGUCGUCAGGAUUCUGCAUACCCUAUUUGGGAUCCUGGUAUGGGACCAAACCACCAAACAACCAUUAGACAGUUGAAACCAUCUCUGUCUGUCGUAGACAGUUUAUACAUCUGGCAUGAGGAGCUACAGUGGGCUACACUUCCCACAGAACCAGAGGACCACGGAAAGCAAGAGUGAAGACGAUGGAAGAUUAUGCAAGAGGAUGCUUAAAAUAUACUUUGGCCAAAACAUAAUACUCAUCUCAGCACCCAGAACCAAAUCACAAGAGACUAGAAAAUACUGGAGAAAUCUCAUAUUUGUUCAAGGAAUACAUUCACACUUGGACUUUCACUCUACAUUGAAUUUGUUGUUCUUUCACUGAUUCAACGUAAUAAUAAUAAUAAUGAAAAACAUUAUAAACCCACUUAUGCGCUCAAGUCACAAGUGACAUUCAUACUGUGUGUGUGUGUGUGUGUGUGUGUGUGUGUGUGUGUGUGUGUGUGUGUGUGUGUGUGUGUGUGUGUGUGUGUGUGUGUGUGUGUGUGUGUGUGUGUGUGUGUGUGUGUGGAUGGCACUGCUCUUUGCAAACCUUGAAGAAAGUGGUUCCACAUUAUUUUCAAUUAAAUUAUGCAAGUUGCAUUGUACAAUGAUAAUUUGUGUCUUGCUUCAUGUUCAUCAAUCUUUUAAGUGAUGGCAAAUGUGGGGAACCAAAAUAACAGAUUGGGUGGGGAGUAGGACUAAGGACACCUGCCUCAAACUGGAAUGAGAAAAGUAGCACAGGGGUGGUGAUUAAAACAAUUGUGAUAUAGGCUACCAUGCUUGUAUCAGUUCCUUGGACAGCACCAUGGGUUGGGCUACAGCUCCCACUUUUGCAUAUAACAAACUCAUUUAUGCAGGUGGGAGUGAGAAACAAUGGUGGCCUCAGGCGCAUUAUAAAAUGUAUGUGAAUUAGUAAAUAUACAUGAAUUAGUAUAUAUAAUAUAAUUGAAUAUUCUAAUAUUUAACACAGUCAUUUCUGAAGUAGGUUAAAUCUGAAGUUAGACUCUUGUUUUGAUGGAGUUGUUUACCCUGCUAGAUGCUGCUCCUAAUUCCAGACUUGACAGACUUGAUUAGUGACUCCAAUUUCUGACUCCAAAUCAGGUUUAGGAUUAUACAGUGUAGGUCUGAUUUGAUGGACCGAAACAAGACUCCAAUAUCUGAACCUUGACCUCAAUCAGUGUCCGGCUGGAUGACCAAAGUCAACAACAGAUGGACAGAAGUAAGAUAAAGAGGGGAUUAUUUCAGAGUGUUUGUGUUGUUAUAAUCAAAACAUGUUUGAUGUGACAGUCAAAAAGAGGUAAAUAUAACUCAAUUAAUGCUUAUCAUUGGUAUUGUUGCUAACACUUACAAAGUUGUCAAGGAAAUUGUUUAAUUAAUGUUGAAAAACAGUCCUAAUAGUGCUGUUUUGGUGGAGUGAAAAGACUGACAUCCAAUUAAGUUUAAUAUAAUUACAU